GAAGACCAGUGAGAAUUGAUUCUAUUCUUCUAGAUUUCUGAGUGCGAAGAAAAAUAGAAAAUUUCUAGAGAAAAAUCAAGAAAAAUGGAGGUGAAGAUUGUUGGGUGAUAAGGCUCGAGAAGAAGAUGAAAUGGGUAGGGAAGGUAGUGGUGGCUAUGAAAGAAAAAGAAGGCGGGAUGGGUGACGACUACGAAACUACUAUUUUCUGUGGA
rnacentral:lncRNA from 1 species